rnacentral:rRNA from 1 species
AGAGUUUGAUCCUGGCUCAGGACGAACGCUGGCGGCGUGCUUAACACAUGCAAGUCGAGCGGUAAGGCCCUUUCGGGGGUACACGAGCGGCGAACGGGUGAGUAACACGUGGGUGACCUGCCUUUAGCUCUGGGAUAAGCCUGGGAAACUGGGUCUAAUACCGGAUAUGACCUCAUGGUGCAUGUUGUGGGGUGGAAAGCCUUGUGCGGCUAGGGAUGGGCCCGCGGCCUAUCAGCUUGUUGGUGGGGUGAUGGCCUACCAAGGCGACGACGGGUAGCCGGCCUGAGAGGGCGACCGGCCACACUGGGACUGAGACACGGCCCAGACUCCUACGGGAGGCAGCAGUGGGGAAUCUUGCGCAAUGGGCGAAAGCCUGACGCAGCGACGCCGCGUGCGCGAUGAAGGCCUUCGGGUCGUAAAGCGCUUUUCUGAGAGAUGAGAAAGGACAGUAUCUCAGGAAUAAGUCUCGGCUAACUACGUGCCAGCAGCCGCGGUAU